AAUUUAUUUGGGGGCAAAAUUGUCAUUUUAUUAAAAUUAUUUAAUAGUGUUAAUGCAAAAGUAGCUAGUUGAUACAAUUGUGAAAAGAAAGGUGGUGCAAAGUACAUGUUAAAAUUUUACAGUGGUUAGAUGAACAUAAGGCAAAAUAAAAGUGGUGUAAUGAUAAUACCCCUACAUAUUAUAAUAGAUAUAAUUAUUUGUAAGAAAUCUUUUACAAUAAGACUUGGUUGUCUUUUUCAUACAUCACCCUCCAUCAGUUGCCUUUGAUCUUCGUAUUGUCAUCUUUGUUGAAGUUCUUUCUCAAACAAUUGAAAUUUAAGGGAUAAGCAUUCCAUUUAAUGCCCCAGCUUGCGGACUUCUCUUAAUAGAAUGUCAAUUUUACUCUCAUUCAUUUUUCGAUCUUCCAUCCCUUUGAAGUCAUUAGAUUCAUCACUCUUCUUAUCGUCAUCUUGUUCAAAAGCCCCACAUCUUUUACAAUUCCAAAACUUUUGAUUCAGAUUUUUUCUUAUACAUCAAGUUUGUAACAUCUUACUAUUUUUACAACAUUUUUCACAAGCUUUCAGCUAUGGGUUUGGAAAUUCACUUGUGUUAUAAGAGAUAAUGAUUAAACAAAUUUUCUACAAAUAUAAAGAACAACAUAUAACGAUGGAACAAAUUUUCUAGCAAUCUGAAGCUCAACAAGAAUCAAUAUAAAGAUUUUUCUAAUUUCAAGCAAUUAAUAUAAUUUCCAACAAUGAUGAAAUCAAUAUAAAGAACACUUGUAAUGAUUUCCAACAAUCAUAACUUUCUAGUAAUCUGGAAAUAACACAUAAUUUCCAACAAUUAAUAUAAAAACAACUCAUAAUGAUGGAAUAAAUUUUCUAGCAAUCUGAAGUUCGACAGCAACAAUCAAAACAUGCAAAUACAAAUCAAUCUAUCCCAACUUAAUUUCCAACAAUCUAACGCUCAGCAUCAACAAUCAGAAAACUAAGCUAAGUGUAUGGUAAUUUUGAAUAGGCUAAGUGUUCAACUUCAAGAAUCAACAAAUCAAGCCAACUAAAUUUGCCCACUUAAAACAAUAAUCAAGAAUAAAAAAAUCAUGCCAACCAAAUUUGCCCUGUAACUCAGCAUCAAGAAUCAAUAAAUCAAAGGUCUAUUUAGAGCUGGCAAAACGGGUCAUUGGGUCGUGUUCGUGUCGUGUCAGCUUCGUGUCGUGUCAAAUUUAGGUCGACCCAUUUAAUAAUCGUGUCAAAAUAUUGAGACCCAAACCCGACACGGAAAAAUAAUCGGGUUACCCAAUAACCCGUUUAAUAUCUAUAUAUUGAACAAAAGUUACAUCAAAUAUUUACACACUAUCACACAUACGUAUAUACAUACAUACAUACAUAAUUUAUCGAUAUUAUAAAAUAUACAUAUCUACCAAUAUAUUACACAUUUAUACUAUUGAGGUUUUAAUUAUAUAGAUAUAAUAUUAUAUAUCAAUAUUAUAGAAUAUACAUGUCUAUCAAUUUUUACACAUUUACACUAUUGAAGCUCUAAAUGUAUUUAAAAUUUUAUAAAUAAAACACUGUGUUUAUAUUCACCCUUUUAAAGAAUAAAAAAAAGAAAAUCAUCUCUAAUAUUUGAGUUUUAAGGAUAAGAAUAUGUAAAUUAUUUUAAAAUAGAAAAUAUAAUCGGGUCAUUGAUCGGGUAAAUGGGUCAAGAAUUUUAACCCUAACCCGACACGGAAAAAAAAUCGUGUUGACCCGGACCCGAUCCAUUUAAUAAUCGUGUUAAAUUUGACAACCCAUACCCAUUUAUUUAUGUCGUGUUCGUGUCGAGUAAUCGGGUCGUGUCAAAUUUUGCCAACUCUAGGUCUAUUCAUUGGGGUUAUGUGAGGAUAUGCCAUGAGUUAUGUGAGGAUAUCCAAAAGGCUAUUGCAAGGUUCUGGCACAGGUACUAGACCUGGUCUUAAAUAGGAAAGGUACAAGGACUGAGAUUUUUUGGAUUGUUUCUAAGAUUCAAGCUAGUCUAAAGAGAUUGCAACAGAGCAAAAUUCAAUAUGCCCUAAGAAACUAUAAUGGAGUAGCUCACUUAUUAGCAAAAACAGCCUUGGAACAAGAUAAUAUUGUCUCAUGGUUCAAUAACAUUCCAAACACCUUUUUGUAUUUAUUCUCUUAUUUUGAUGAGUGAAAGAUACAAUUUCAUAU
rnacentral:lncRNA from 1 species